AUAACGACAAGCAAAGGCUCUCGGCUCCCCGUCUGUGCGCCAUGGGGGCGAUCAGCUCGGCGGGGAUCUCCAACACCCACGUACGCAGGUGGGUGACCAUGGGCUAGCAAUCAAUCAGCCAGCCUCAUAUCCUCCUGGCCAUAUUGCGCUAAGCAGUACUGGCGCUAAGGUGUGGCAUCUGAUAGUAGGACAUCUGAGGAAAAAGAUGCCUUGUUCAGGGGGUUGAUGCCCAGGAAACCGAGAUCGCCAAUGAAACUGGAACCAGGCUGAUCGGUACGGUGGUUUCGGACCAUCCAUCCUGGGCUGAAGCCGGUGCUGAUGCUGAGCAUGGUGGCCGUGCUUCUCUGAGCUACCUGAUGAAGAAUCGACAAAGGAGUGAUGAAAUCCAUGUCGUCUCGGACUGGGAGAAGCUCGAAGAUUGAUGCUGCUAGCUUGUCUGUCUUGGCUAGUGUUGCUUUACAUGUUGCUUUCUGCUCCAUGGAGUUUGUAACGAACUUAAUUGUUUUACUUUUGCGUUGCGUUCCUUGCCCC